GUGAGUCAUCGAAUCUUUGAACGCACCUUGCGCUCCUUGGUAUUCCGAGGAGCAUGCCUGUUUGAGUGUCUUGAAGUCAUCAACCCGCACCUGUUUUGCGCAUGUGAAGGUUGGAGAUGGGGGAAUGCUGCUGCAAGGCUGCUCCCCUCAAAUGUGUCGGUUGGACCUUGUGGGUCAAAAGUCGACUGGGGCGUUGUACUGUCCUCGCUCUACACUGUUCGACUCCCCGUCUGUGUCCUCCCACGACUUGCCUGUGGAGUGGCGGUCAAGCUGAACUUUGAAAUCUGACCUCAAAUCAGGUAGGACUACCCGCUGAACUUAAGCAUAUCAAUAAGCGGAGGA
rnacentral:misc_RNA from 1 species